GACGAACGCUGGCGGCGUGCUUAACACAUGCAAGUCGAACGGAAAGGCCCUGCUUUUGUGGGGUGCUCGAGUGGCGAACGGGUGAGUAACACGUGAGUAACCUGCCCUUGACUUUGGGAUAACUUCAGGAAACUGGGGCUAAUACCGGAUAGGAGCUCCUGCUGCAUGGUGGGGGUUGGAAAGUUUCGGCGGUUGGGGAUGGACUCGCGGCUUAUCAGCUUGUUGGUGGGGUAGUGGUUUACCAAGGCUUUGACGGGUAGCCGGCCUGAGAGGGUGACCGGCCACAUUGGGACUGAGAUACGGCCCAGACACCUACGGGAGGCAGCAGUGGGGAAUAUUGCACAAUGGGCGGAAGCCUGAUGCAGCAACGCCGCGUGCGGGAUGACGGCCUUCGGGUUGUAAACCGCUUUCGCCUGUGACGAAGCGUGAGUGACGGUAAUGGGUAAAGAAGCACCGGCUAACUACGUG
rnacentral:rRNA from 1 species